rnacentral:lncRNA from 1 species
UUCAGUGGUACACAAUUAAGAUUUCAAAAAAUAUUGUAGUUGUUUUUAAAUGACAGAAUUCAGUUGAAUUUUAGAUAAUUUACUAUCAACUUAAAUCGAAUGUUUAGAUUUAGAAGAUGCAGAUCUCUUCCAUGGUCCAAACUGAAUCCUAAACUAAGGAAACGAAAUUACAUUAAACAACAAUUGAUUUCAAUAUUGUCAAAAGAGGGACGAAAGAUACCAAAGGGACAGUCAAACUCAUAAAUCUAAAACAAACUGACAACGCCAUGGCUAAAAAUGAAAAAGACAAACAAACAACAGCACACACGACACAACAUAGAAAAAUAAAGAAUAAACAACACGAACCCCA